rnacentral:rRNA from 1 species
UACGGCCGCAAGGUUAAAACUCAAAUGAAUUGACGGGGGCCCGCACAAGCGGUGGAGCAUGUGGUUUAAUUCGAUGCAACGCGAAGAACCUUACCUGGUCUUGACAUCCACGGAAGUUUUCAGAGAUGAGAAUGUGCCUUCGGGAACCGUGAGACAGGUGCUGCAUGGCUGUCGUCAGCUCGUGUUGUGAAAUGUUGGGUUAAGUCCCGCAACGAGCGCAACCCUUAUCCUUUGUUGCCAGCGAUUAGGUCGGGAACUC